AUGUCGCUCCCCCCGACGCCCGCUCUCCGGCUGGGAGGUCCCAGCUCAGGUCCUUUCCUAGUUUUUAGCCCCCACCCCUCGAAGCUCGGGGCCGGGCGCGCAGCCGGCAGUUUUCCCCCUCUCCGCGUCUGCCGGGCAGGGAGCAGCAGCUCGGAGAUGCUCCCUACCUCCUCCUCCCCCGAGGCUCCGCGUCUCCGGGCCGCCCUUUCUCCCCUCCGGCCGCGUCUACCCAGCAGCGGGGGAAGAGGAGGUAAAGUUGGAGGGGUGUGUGUUGGGGGGAAAGCUGGACCCUCCCACACCUCCCCACCGCUGUCCGCCGCCUGCGAGGGGAAGGCACUGCCGCUGCGGCGGGGCUGGCGGUGUGCGACCACGCCGAAACGCCCGUUCCCUUUUCCUCUUAUCCUCCCCCUGCCCAGCCCGGCCUCCGCUUUCUCCUCCCAGACCUCGCCGGUUAACCCUCCCCGAUGCUCCGGGGGGGCGCCGGCUUGCCCCCCCUCUACCUCAGUGGGGCUCGUUCUCCCCCGCCUCCUCCUGCAGCACCACGCACAAAUCCGAGCAGCGCUGGCUGGGGGGCUGAGCCCCGACCCCUGCCCGGGACACCCGGUAGCGGAGCCCGUGGGAGGGCGCGGGGCCGCCGGGGGUGACACACGCACACGCGCUCGCACACGCACUUGCACACACGGAGAGCAGCGGGCGCUGCUCGCACGGAGCGGAACACCCCGAGGAGCUGCAGGUUGCUCCGCAUGCAGUCUGCGCCAGGUGAAAUCUCCCUCCUGGCAAGUUUUGCGCUUUUCUCCCUUGUCUUUCGGGAAGCACGUAGAGAGAUUUUCUUAUUUCCUCACUUUGACUUCCCCUGACUUCCUGAAACAAAGCGUUUUUACUGCAUUUUUGUCAAUGAAGGAGUCGCCCGCUCCUCCCCUGAGACCCGCAGCUCUCUGCCAGCCUGCAGCGAUCCGCGUGGCUCAGUGGUUCUUUAUUCUUCGGGUGCGUUCAUCUUUGGGAGGAUACAAAGUAGUGCACACGCAGCACACGAGUGGCAUUUCCCCCAGGAGUCCAGAUCUGACCUCGCUGGCCAGUCAUAACUCCUGGGGAUGGAGCAGCAGCCUCAUGCACGGUGAACCAAGGCAGAGAGAAGUGGAAAUCAACUGA
rnacentral:lncRNA from 1 species